AUUGAACGCUGGCGGCAGGCCUAACACAUGCAAGUCGAGCGAGCGGCGGACGGGUGAGUAAUGUCUGGGAAACUGCCUGAUGGAGGGGGAUAACUACUGGAAACGGUAGCGAACACCGCAUACCAUCAGAUGUGCCCAGAUGGGAUUAGCUAGUAGGUGGGGUAACGGCUCACCUAGGCGACGAUCGCUAGCUGGUCUGAGAGGAUGACCAGCCACGCUGGAACUGAGACACGGUCCAGAAUCCUACGGAGGGCAGCAGUGGGGAAUAUUACACAAUGGGCGCAAGCCUAAUGCAGCCAUGCCGCGUGUGUGAAGAAGGCCUUCGGGUUGUAAAGCACUUUCAGCGGGGAGGCGUUACCCGCAGAAGAAGCACCGGCUAACUCCGUGCCAGCAGCCGCGGUAAUAC
rnacentral:rRNA from 1 species